UAUAUAAAAAGAAGAUGUGGUAUGAUUGCCAAUGAGACAACUAUCCACAAAAGACCAAAAUGACACAAGCAUUAACAAUUAUAGGUCACCGUACGGCCUUCAACUAUGAGCAAAGCCCAUACCGCAUAUAGUCAGCUAUAAAAGGCCCUGAUAAGACAAUGUAAAACAAUUCAAGCGAGAAAAUUAACGGCCUUUUUAUGUAAAAAAAUGAACGAUAAAACAAAUAUGUAACACAUAAACAAACGACAACCACUGAAUUACAGGCUCCUGACUUGGGACAGGCACAUACAUAAAUAAUGUGGCGGGGUUAAACAUGUUAGCGGGAUCCCAAC
rnacentral:lncRNA from 1 species